GACCUCGGAUCAGGUAGGGAUACCCGCUGAAUUUAAGCAUAUCAAUAAGCGGAGGAAAAGAAACCGACAGGGAUUGCCUCAGUAACGGUGAGUGAAGCGGCAACAGCUCAAAUUUGAAAUCUGGCUCUUUCAGGGUCCGAGUUGUAAUUUGUAGAAGAUGCUUUGGGUGUGGCUCCGGUAUAAGUUCCUUGGAACAGGACGUCAUAGAGGGUGAGAAUCCCGUACGUGACUGGGUGCCUUCGCUCGUGUAAAGCUCUUUCGACGAGUCGAGUUGUUUGGGAAUGCAGCUCAAAAUGGGUGGUAAAUUUCAUCUAAAGCUAAAUAUUGGCCAGAGACCGAUAGCGCACAAGUAGAGUGAUCGAAAGAUGAAAAGCACUUUGGAAAGAGAGUUAAACAGUAUGUGAAAUUGUUGAAAGGGAAGCGCUUGCAACCAGACUUGCGCGCUGUUGAUCAUCCGGGCUUUUGCCCGGUGCACUCGGCAGCGCUCAGGCCAGCAUCGGUUUUGGUGGGCGGAUAAA
rnacentral:rRNA from 1 species